CCUACGGGCGGCAGCAGUGAGGAAUAUUGGUCAAUGGGCGGAAGCCUGAACCAGCCAAGUAGCGUGCAGGAUGACGGCCCUACGGGUUGUAAACUGCUUUUAUACGGGAAUAACGCGCCUUACGUGUAGGGCUUUGCAUGUACCGUAUGAAUAAGGACCGGCUAAUUCCGUGCCAGCAGCCGCGGUAAUACGGAAGGUCCGGGCGUUAUCCGGAUGUAUUGGGUUUAAAGGGAGCGUAGGCCGCAUGUCAAGCGUGCUGUGAAAUGUCCGGGCUCAACCCGGGCCUUGCAGCGCGUACUGGCGUGCUGGAGUCCGCGGAAAGCAGGCUGAAGUCGUCGUGCAGCCGUGAGAUGCUUAGAUAUGACGAAGAACCCCGAUUGCGACGGCAGCUUGCUGCAGCGGAACUGACGCUGAUGCUCGAAAGCGUGGGUAUCGAACAGGAGUAGAUACCCCAGUAGUC
rnacentral:rRNA from 1 species